rnacentral:rRNA from 1 species
UACGUAGGGUGCAAGCGUUAAUCGGAAUUACUGGGCGUAAAGCGUGCGCAGGCGGUUGUGUAAGACAGAUGUGAAAUCCCCGGGCUCAACCUGGGAACUGCAUUUGUGACUGCACAGCUGGAGUGCGGCAGAGGGGGAUGGAAUUCCGCGUGUAGCAGUGAAAUGCGUAGAUAUGCGGAGGAACACCGAUGGCGAAGGCAAUCCCCUGGGCCUGCACUGACGCUCAUGCACGAAGCGU